GAUGAACGCUGGCGGCGUGCUUAACACAUGCAAGUCGAGCGAAGCAGUUAAGUUGAUUUCUUCGGAUUGAUUCUUAACUGACUGAGCGGCGGACGGGUGAGUAACGCGUGGGUGACCUGCCCCAUACCGGGGGAUAACAGCUGGAAACGGCUGCUAAUACCGCAUAAGCGCACAGAGCUGCAUGGCUCGGUGUGAAAAACUCCGGUGGUAUGGGAUGGGCCCGCGUCUGAUUAGGCAGUUGGCGGGGUAACGGCCCACCAAACCGACGAUCAGUAGCCGGCCUGAGAGGGCGACCGGCCACAUUGGGACUGAGACACGGCCCAAACUCCUACGGGAGGCAGCAGUGGGGAAUAUUGCACAAUGGGGGAAACCCUGAUGCAGCGACGCCGCGUGAGCGAAGAAGUAUUUCGGUAUGUAAAGCUCUAUCAGCAGGGAAGAUAAUGACGGUACCUGACUAAGAAGCCCCGGCUAACUACGUGCCAGCAGCCGCGGUAAUACGUAGGGGGCAAGCGUUAUCCGGAUUUACUGGGUGUAAAGGGAGCGUAGACGGCAAGGCAAGUCUGAUGUGAAAACCCAGGGCUUAACCCUGGGACUGCAUUGGAAACUGUCUGGCUCGAGUGCCGGAGAGGUAAGCGGAAUUCCUAGUGUAGCGGUGAAAUGCGUAGAUAUUAGGAAGAACACCAGUGGCGAAGGCGGCUUACUGGACGGUAACUGACGUUGAGGCUCGAAAGC
rnacentral:rRNA from 1 species